rnacentral:rRNA from 1 species
AAAACCAUCCCAGUUCGGAUUGCACUCUACAACUCGAGUGCAUGAAGUUGGAAUCGCUAGUAAUCGCGGAUCAGCAUGCCGCGGUGAAUACGUUCCCGGGCCUUGUACACACCGCCCGUCACACCAUGGGAGUUGGUUUUACCCGAAGGCGCUGUGCUAACCGCAAGGAG